UACGGAGGGGGCUAGCGUUGUUCGGAAUCACUGGGCGUAAAGCGCGCGUAGGCGGCUGUGUCAGUCAGGGGUGAAAUCCCGGAGCUCAACUGCGGAACUGCCUCUGAUACAGCACGUCUUGAGUCCGGAAGAGGUGAGUGGAAUUCCCAGUGUAGCGGUGAAAUGCGUAGAUAUUGGGAGGAACACCAGUGGCGAAGGCGGCUCACUGGACCGGUUCUGACGCUGAGGCGCGAAAGCGUGGGGAGCAAACGGG
rnacentral:rRNA from 1 species